rnacentral:rRNA from 1 species
ACGAACGCUGGCGGCGUGCUUAACACAUGCCAGUCGAACGGAAAGGCCCUGCUUUUGUGGGGUGCUCGAGUGGCGAACGGGUGAGUAACACGUGAGUAACCUGCCCUUGACUUUGGGAUAACUUCAGGAAACUGGGGCUAAUACCGGAUAGGAGCUCCUGCUGCAUGGUGGGGGUUGGAAAGUUUCGGCGGUUGGGGAUGGACUCGCGGCUUGUCAGCUUGUUGGUGGGGUAGUGGCUUACCAAGGCUUUGACGGGUAGCCGGCCUGAGAGGGUGACCGGCCACAUUGGGACUGAGAUACGGCCCAGACUCCUACGGGAGGCAGCAGUGGGGAAUAUUGCACAAUGGGCGGAAGCCUGAUGCAGCAACGCCGCGUGCGGGAUGACGGCCUUCGGGUUGUAAACCGCUUUCGCCUGUGACGAAGCGUGAGUGACGGUAAUGGGUAAAGAAGCACCGGCUAACUACGUG